UACAGAGGGUGCAAGCGUUAAUCGGAAUUACUGGGCGUAAAGGGCGUGUAGGUGGUUAUGUAAGUUGGUUGUGAAAUCCCUGGGCUUAACCUAGGAAUGGCAAUCAAGACUGUAUGACUAGAGUACGGUAGAGGGUAGUGGAAUUUCCGGUGUAGCGGUGAAAUGCGUAGAGAUCGGAAGGAACACCAGUGGCGAAGGCGGCUACCUGGACUGAUACUGACACUGAGGCGCGAGAGCGUGGGGAGCAAACAGG
rnacentral:rRNA from 1 species